GUGUUUUCAAGGAGAGACGGUUGGCAUCUCCCCUGACAGGGAUGGGAACAGCUUUCGGGCUUACCUGUUAACACAUCUGGUUAAGGCUACCCAUUUCAGUGGAUCUUCACCUUUUUUUUUU